rnacentral:rRNA from 1 species
GAACCGUCCAAACGUUAUUCGGAAUUACUGGGCUUAAAGGGUACGUAGGCGGCGCUGUCAGUCGGGUGUGAAAUCCCACGGCUCAACCGUGGAAUUGCGCCCGAUACUGCAGUGCUUGAGGGAGACAGAGGUAAGCGGAACUGAUGGUGGAGCGGUGAAAUGCGUUGAUAUCAUCAGGAACACCAGUGGCGAAAGCGGCUUACUGGGUCUCUUCUGACGCUGAGGUACGAAAGCCAGGGGAGCGAAGGGGAUUAGAUACCCCCGUAGUCCUGGCCGUAAACUCUGUGCACUUGAUCGAGGGCCCCCCAUAGGCUCUCGGUCGUAGCGAAAGUGUUAAGUGCACCGCCUGGGGAGUAUGGUCGCAAGGCUG